rnacentral:rRNA from 1 species
CGUGCGGUUCUAUUUUGUUGGUUUCUAGGACCGCCGUAAUGAUUAAUAGGGAUAGUGCGGGGGCCAUCCGUAUUCAAUUGUCAGAGGUGAAAUCCUUGGAUUUAUUGAAGACGAACUACUGCGAAAGCAUUUGCCAAGGAUGUUUUUCAUUAAUCAGGAACGGAAGUUGAGGGAUCGAAGACGAUCAGAUACCGUCGUAGUCUUCAACCAUAAGCUAUGCCGACUAGGGAUCGGGGCGAUGUUUUAUUCUGACUCGCUCGGCACCUUACGAGAAAUCAAAGUCUUUGGGUUCUGGGGGGGAGUAUGGUCGCAAGGCUGAAACUUAAAGUAAUUGACGGAAGGGCACCACCGGGAGUGGAGCCUGCGGCUUAAUUUGACUCAACACGGGGAAACUCACCAGGUCCAGACACAUUAAGGAUUGACAGAUUGAGAGCUCUUUCUUGAUCAUGUGGGUGGUGGUGCAUGGCCGUUCUUAGUUGGUGGAGUGAUUUGUCUGCUUAAUUGCGAUAACGAACGAGACCUUAACCUGCUAAAUAGCCAGGCCCGCUUUUGCGGGUCGCCGGCUUCUUAGAGGGACUAUCGGAUUUCAAGUCGAUGGAAGUUUGAGGCAAUAACAGGUCUGUGAUGCCCUUAGAUGUUCUGGGCCGCACGCGCCGCUACACUGACAGAGCCAACGAGUACAUCACCUUGGCCGGAAGGUCUGGGUAAUCUUGUUAAACUCUGUCGUGC